AUGGUCAUUACCGUUCAACAGGAAAUGACGUAUAUGAACGCGUCGCUAAGAGAUGUCUGCUUGCAGUUUAGUGUCAUAGUUCUGCAGAUUGUCGAAAGCAUUACUUGAAGUCAUUUUUCGUCAGAAAAUCUAGCACCAUACCUCUCUCCGGUGGAGCAAGUCUUCUCCCAGGUCUCCACACAACGGUCCCAAAUAGAGGACUUUGGCUCCAGUUUCAGUGCCUGGCUCCCCUGUACUCUCCCAGGUUCCCCAACCCCAUCUCCAGCAGCAUAAUGCCCAGAACAACAGGACCAGCGGCCGAAGGAGAGACAUGACCAGCGGCAGCAGCAGCGUGUUGGUGGGGCUUCUGGGAUGGUCAGAUGUUGAAAUACGCCCCCUCACUCCCUCACUUGAGCCGUGGUUUACAGACUGUAGAAGAAUGACCCUCGCUGGGAAAACAUUGCAUGAAGGUGUGACCAAACCCCUCCUCCCACCACACCAGAACGCGGAGUCAGCUCUCCAGGACACUUACCCUCAUUGCCCUGUGCCCCCUCCCAGGCGCCCUGCUAUCCCACAGUAAAAUAUGUUCCUCUUUUUCGACCCUCUCCAGUGUGUCAGCAGACAGCUGUUUAUCCUGAUGGAUUUAUCGUGAGGUGUUAGUAGUUUUUAUGCAACUAACUCAAAAACAGCAGGUACACAAGUUGAUUUGAGGUGCAGCUUUUUAUGAUAUAGUUUUUUAUUAUUUCAACAGGAGAUAAGGUACUUAGAAUAGGGUGAAAUUUGUGCUCAUCAGAUUUCAGGAAUUCCUGUGUUUCAACUUGAUUUACUGCCUCUGGCAUUCCUUGAUAUGUAGCUGGACU